GUGCAGCAGGCGAGAAAACUCCGCAAUACACGAAAGUGUGACGGGGCCAUCCCGAGUGCCGUCCGCUGAGGACGGCUUUUCCCCAGUGUACACAGCUGGGGGAAUAAGGAGAGGGCAAGCCUGGUGUCAGCCGCCGCGGUAAUACCAGCUCUCCGAGUGGUGGGGACGCUUAUUGGGCCUAAAGCAUCCGUAGCCGGCUGGGCAAGUUCUCCGUUAAAUCCAACGAUUCAAUCGUUGGGCUGCGGGGGAUACUGUCCAGCUUGGGGGUGGGAGAGGCCGACGGUAUUCCCGGGGUAGGGGUGAGAUCCUAUAAUCCCGGGAGGACCACCAGUGGCGAAGGCUGUCGGCUAGAACGCGCCCGACGGUGAGGGGAUGAAAGCGUGGGGGGAGCGAACCGGAUUAGAUA
rnacentral:rRNA from 1 species